CCUCAAAUUACAAAGUUACAUGUAUAUAUGGUGAAAGGGUAAUGGAUUGAUCUUUGUUAAUUCACAUAUAUGAAAAUCCCUUUGUAGAAACCCUAACACAGAUCCUGUAGAUCUGAACUGGAAAAGGAAAAUCAAGUAGAACCAGUACUUCACAUAUAUAAUCUAGAAUCGAUUUCUUCAGCAGUUACAAGUACAACACAAACAAUAGUUCUGAUCAUUUAAACAAGAUAAUCCAUACACACACACACUCGGAGAACAAAAGAGUUUCUUACCAAAUAUAGUGACUUGAGUCUUAACAUAACCUAUAACAACAAAACCAGGAAAGACAGAGCCUUUAUAUAGCUAACAAGAUCUAAGGAACAAGUUGCCAAACCAAAAGAAGUUGAAAAUUUGAGAUUUGCUUUGAUUCAACACUAGCAAAUCGUCGUCGGACCAAGAUGCUUGAUUCCCCAAAAGCGCAAAGACUUGCAAUAACUCUUUGAACUUUAUUAAGGAGAGAGAUCGAGAUUCUUCACUCGCAACCAAGGAGAGCGAGAAAGCUAGCUUAUUAGCUAUAGCUAAGCUAAGCUAGGGUUGUCUUUCUGCUGGGCGCUUGAAAAUCAUGAUGAGAAAAUUUUCUUUUCGUUGGGUCGCUUCUUUUUUUUCUUCCUCUUCUUUGGUGGUGAUAUUAAUGAGAAUAAUGACACUUUGGGUGUGGGUGUUGUGGGGUGGUUGGAGUUGGAGGUGAUGAAGCAGCAGCAGAGGGUGGUGUGGAAGCAAUGAUGGCGAUAAAGAAGGUAAGAGGAGGACAUGAUGAUUGCUGUUGGGUUCUGGCGUUGAAAGAAAGGCAAAGCCAAAAUUUCUAGGUUUUUUGUGCCCCCCUCUUUCUCUCUCUCUCUCUCUCUUUCUUUCUAACAUGUCAGAGCGAGAAAGAGAAAGAGAAAGAGAAAGAGAGAGAGAGAGAGAGAGAGAGAGAGAGAGAGAGAGAGAGAGAGUGCGUGUG
rnacentral:lncRNA from 1 species